rnacentral:rRNA from 1 species
AGCUCCAACAGCGUAUAUUAAAGUUGCUGCAGUUAAAACGCUCGUAGUUGUUGUCCAACUAGACGCCACACUCUACUUGAGAGCGGCACACUAGUUUAGCGGAAAUUUAUUUCUGCCAAAACCUUGAGGAAAGAUUAGUGCUCAAAGCAAUCAUUCUUUGUCCUCCCCAGCAUGGUAUUUAACCUAAUCGAAGGAGAUUGUUGUCGAGUCUCCUUCUUACUAUACAGGAAUUCAAGGGGGUAUACGUACUUUAAUGUCAGAGGUGAAAUUCCUAGAUUUUUAAAAGACGAUCAAUUGCGAAAGCAUUCACCAAACGACUUUUCU